GAUCUGCUUUUCAUUGUCUUCGACACUCGUCCCCUUGCCUGAUCAGUUCUGGAUCUACUCGAUUGUUUCCAGAACAUUGUUGUUUUUUGAGUGACUGCUUGCAAUUGAGUGUGUCCACUUUGAAGGGGAGCAUUACUUGUAUGAGCAACGGACUUAGGUUGAGAGGGUUUUCAUUUUUCCGUCGAAGAACGCGAACAGAUAUGCAAUCUUCUCGCAAUCACACCAUGGGCAAAAUGCAUGAAUCUGAGUAGAUGAUUAUUUGAAUCCUUGUCAGUAAUUUUUGAUAAAAUCUUUGAAAGGCCCUCAAUCGUCUCAACAUUAGCGUCAUGGAAAACUUUUCAGGUUUGGUGCCUUUCCUCUGGAAGACUUUUUAAAAGCCACGCGAUAAGUUUCUGGAGCCUGAGAUGGUGCCCUUGUCCAUGCAUAGUGCUCUGGAAGGCCAGGAAGUCAUCAUACGAGACGACGAAUAUUUUCUCAAUUCAGAAGGUGGAAAAUCACCCAGGUUCCCAAAAUCUCCUGGGAUGUUUGGGAAAUCACCCUCGAUGUUUGCAAAAUCACCUGGGAGAUCCCACAAACGACGACACUCCACCGGGUUGAGUGGCUUCCUUAUGCCGAUGUCCUCGCACCCUCAAGGAUCCCGAUUAUCGUCCUGAAAAAACCCUGAAGAGAUCCGGAUUCUGUGACAACCUUAACAGGUCGAAACUUGGUACGUUGUACUUACAUCUCGCUCGUUACGCAAUCACCAGCAAGAUGAAUCAUCGCCUGAGAGAUGCUAUCUUAAUUGCAAAAUUUUAUGUGAGAGACAGGUUUUUGAUAUUGUACAGCGGACGUAGUUCAGGAUUAGGUCAUGAAUCACCUUGUGAACUCCGUCGAUGUUGCAUUGCACAUUUUUUUGCGAAUAAAUGCACCGAAACAGAAACAUGAAGGGAGCCCUUGAUGUGAAAUAUGGUUAUUAACAGUACUGCCAAACUGCCAAUACAAAAUAGUGUAGUUUUAGAACAAGUGCACUUAUGAUGUUAGCUUCUCCCUCGUAUAAAAUGUUACGAAAGUGAGAUGGGUUCCCUUGUGAUAUUUAUUUUCCCUCUUCAAAUUCAAAUGAUGAUGCUAACUUGCAAUUGCUGACUGCCGUAUUACUAGAUGAAAUUGGUACAAUGGUACAUGAGAGCUGCAAUUAGGUUGUGACAUUUCUCCUAGCAAGUAAACAUGGCUGUUGUGGGACAUGCCUGUCGUUUCGCUCUCUUACAAACCCACUCCAAAGCUGUUGGUAAUGGGUCUCUACGUGUAAUGAAUUAACGUGCUUGCUUGUAGGUGAGCCUCAGUAAAUUCAAGCUCAUGGCAACGAUUCUUUUUUGUA